rnacentral:rRNA from 1 species
CGUAGCCGAACUGAGAGGUUGAUCGGCCACAUUGGGACUGAGACACGGCCCAAACUCCUACGGGAGGCAGCAGUAGGGAAUCUUCCACAAUGGACGCAAGUCUGAUGGAGCAACGCCGCGUGAGUGAAGAAGGCUUUCGGGUCGUAAAACUCUGUUGUUGGAGAAGAAUGGUCGGCAGAGUAACUGUUGUCGGCGUGACGGUAUCCAACCAGAAAGCCACGGCUAACUACGUGCCAGCAGCCGCGGUAAUACGUAGGUGGCAAGCGUUAUCCGGAUUUAUUGGGCGUAAAGCGAGCGCAGGCGGUUUUUUAAGUCUGAUGUGAAAGCCCUCGGCUUAACCGAGGAAGUGCAUCGGAAACUGGGAAACUUGAGUGCAGAAGAGGACAGUGGAACUCCAUGUGUAGCGGUGAAAUGCGUAGAUAUAUGGAAGAACACCAGUGGCGAAGGCGGCUGUCUGGUCUGUAACUGACGCUGAGGCUCGAAAGCAUGGGUAGCGAACAGGAUUAGAUACCCUGGUAGUCCAUGCCGUAAACGAUGAAUGCUAGGUGUUGGAGGGUUUCCGCCCUUCAGUGCCGCAGCUAACGCAUUAAGCAUUCCGCCUGGGGAGUACGACCGCAAGGUUGAAACUCAAAGGAAUUGACGGGGGCCCGCACAAGCGGUGGAGCAUGUGGUUUAAUUCGAAGCAACGCGAAGAACCUUACCAGGUCUUGACAUCUUUUGAUCACCUGAGAGAUCAGGUUUCCCCUUCGGGGGCAAAAUGACAGGUGGUGCAUGGUUGUCGUCAGCUCGUGUCGUGAGAUGUUGGGUUAAGUCCCGCAACGAGCGCAACCCUUAUGACUAGUUGCCAGCAUUUAGUUGGGCACUCUAGUAAGACUGCCGGUGACAAACCGGAGGAAGGUGGGGAUGACGUCAAAUCAUCAUGCCCCUUAUGACCUGGGCUACACACGUGCUACAAUGGAUGGUACAACGAGUUGCGAGACCGCGAGGUCAAGCUAAUCUCUUAAAGCCA